rnacentral:rRNA from 1 species
GCCAGCCAGCCAGCCAUCGAACCCCCCUCCUUCUCCUCUCCUCGCCGAACCCACCCCGGCGCUCGCUGUCCGAAAUCCCCACCAAUUCGGCACGCCGCACGUGUGCGUACGUAUAUAACACAUCGGUCGACCGAUCAAUGGCCCUGCUCAAGGCCGCGCGCGUCGCCGACGUCCCCACCCUCGACGUCGUCGUGCCGGACCACCUCACCGCCGCCGCGCGGGUCCUCGACGCGGAGUCGGUGGCGACGAUGAAGAGGCAGCAGCGCGGCGCGGGCCGGCGGUUCGCGGUGAUCGGGCACCGCGGCAAGGGGAUGAACGCGCUGGCGUCGCCGGACCGGCGGCUGCAGGAGGUGAAGGAGAACUCGGUCCGGUCGUUCAACGAGGCGGCGCGCUUCGCCGUCGACUACGUCGAGUUCGACGUCCAGGUCACCAAGGACGUCUGCCCAAUCAUCUUCCAUGACAACUUCAUCAUUACUGAGGAGCAUGGCAAAAUUUCAGAGAAGCGUGUCACUGAUCUUCAGUUGGAAGAUUUCCUCCAGUAUGGCCCACAAAACAAGCAAGGCAAGAAUGGGAAGCCUUUGCUGCGGAAAAUGAAGGACGGCCGGGUGUUGAAUUGGAGCGUUCAGUCAGAUGAUCCUCUUUGCACCCUUCAAGAAGCAUUCGAGAAGGUCAAUCCAAGAUUGGGCUUCAAUGUCGAGCUGAAAUUCGAUGACAAUCUUGUGUACCAAGAUGAGGAGCUCACUCACAUCCUCCAGGCCAUCCUCAAGGUGGUCUUCGAGUGUGCCAAGGAUAGGCCUAUCAUUUUCUCUAGCUUCCAGCCCGAUGCUGCGCAGCUCAUGCGAAAACUACAGAGCACAUACCCUGUGUACUUCUUGACGAACGGAGGGACAGAAGUCUACGCCGACGUGAGGAGGAACUCGUUGGAGGAGGCGGUCAAGCUGUGCCUCGCCACUGGCAUGCAAGGGAUCGUGUCCGAGGCCCGCGCGGUCUUCAGGUUCCCGACUGCCAUACCGAAGAUCAAGGAGGCUGACCUCUCCCUACUAACUUACGGGACACUCAAUAACGUGCCGGAGGCGGUGUACAUGCAGCACCUGAUGGGGGUGAACGGGGUCAUCGUCGACCUCGUGCCGGAGAUCACGGGGGCCGUCUCGGACCUCAUCGCUGUCCCGGAGAUCGACACGGAGAUCAAUGAUCUGAGCAGCCAAGCUGUGAAAGAUGCCGCGUCGACGCCAAAUUUCACGCAGCGGGAGAUUUCAUUCCUACUGAGGCUGAUGCCGGAGCUUGUGCAAUAACACAGACUGCACCCCAUUGAUGGCUUUGGAUGUAACUGACUGAUUGGCAUACAGGAAGAGGAGCCCCUUGUGGAGGGCAGUACAAGUAUACGUACUGGGUUGGUGUGAUCUCCUUCGGUGAGCCCUGGUCCUAGGAGAAUUGGGGAUUGUUUUAUACAUGUUGUAGCGAGGGGGCAUUGAUUUAUACAUGUUGUAGCGAGGGUGGUGAUUUUUCUGGAUAUACAGUGAAUGUCAUCGUCACAAUGGCGGUGUUAUUACUACGCUAGUACUCCCU